rnacentral:piRNA from 1 species
AGAAUUCACUGUUGUGUGGAACCUAGG